AUUGAACGCUGGCGGCAGGCUUCACACAUGCAAGUCGAACGAGUGGCGGACGGGUGAGUAAUGCUUGGGAAUCUAGCUUAUGGAGGGGGAUACCUACGGGAAACUGUAGCUAAUACCGCGUACUAUAGGAUGAGCCCAAGGGGGAUUAGGUAGUUGGUGAGGUAAAGGCUCACCAAGCCGACGAUCUCUAGCUGGUCUGUGAGGAUGACCAGCCACACUGGGACUGUGAAACGGCCCAGACUCCUACGGGAGGCAGCAGUGGGGAAUAUUGCGCAAUGGGGGCAACCUGACGCAGCCAUGCCGCGUGAAUGAAGAAGGCCUUCGGGUUGUAAAGUACUUUCGGUAGCGAGGCGUUAACUACAGAAGAAGCACCGGCUAACUCCGUGCCAGCAGCCGCUGUAAUAC
rnacentral:rRNA from 1 species